rnacentral:rRNA from 1 species
UACGGAGGGUGCAAGCGUUAUCCGGAUUCACUGGGUUUAAAGGGUGCGUAGGUGGGUCUGUAAGUCCGUGGUGAAAUCUCUAGGCUUAACCUGGAAACUGCCAUGGAUACUAUAGGUCUUGAAUACUGUGGAGGUCAGCGGAAUAUGUCAUGUAGCGGUGAAAUGCUUAGAUAUGACAUAGAACACCAAUUGCGAAGGCAGCUGGCUACACAAAUAUUGACACUGAGGCACGAAAGCGUGGGGAUCAAACAGG